rnacentral:rRNA from 1 species
UACGGGGGGGGCAAGCGUUGUUCGGAAUUACUGGGCGUAAAGGGCGCGUAGGCGGUUCGCUAAGCUGGAUGUGAAAACUCUGGGCUCAACCCAGAGCCUGCAUCCAAAACUGGCGGGCUAGAGUUCUGGAGGGGGUAGCGGAAUUCCUGGUGUAGCGGUGAAAUGCGUAGAUAUCAGGAGGAACACCGGUGGCGAAGGCGGCUACCUGGACAGAAACUGACGCUGAGGCGCGAAAGCUAGGGGAGCAAACAGG